GCGGUAGUAGUUAAACCUGGUUAGAAUAUUGCCUUGCCAAGGCAAUGAUCCGGGUUCAAAUCCCGGCUGCCGCA
rnacentral:tRNA from 1 species